UACGAAGGUGGCAAGCGUUGUCCGGAUUUACUGGGCGUAAAGCGCGCGCAGGUGGUGCGCUAAGUCCGCGGUGAAAUCGCCCGGCUCAACUGGGCGGCUGCCGCGGAGACUGACGCACUGGAGGGACCGAGAGGCCGGUGGAAUUCCCGGUGUAGUGGUGAAAUGCGUAGAGAUCGGGAGGAACACCAGUGGCGAAGGCGGUUGCCUGGGGCUUUGCUGACGCUGAUGCGCGAAAGCGUGGGGAGCGAUCCGG
rnacentral:rRNA from 1 species